CCAGCACAACGCCCCCUUCCGUCUUCCCUCUGGCUUCCGGCUGUGUGGACACAUCUGGCUCCAUGAAUACCCUGGGCUGCCUGGUCAAGGGCUACUUCCCCGAGCCAGUGACAGUGACAUGGAACUCAGGGGCCCUGACCAGCGGAGUGCACACCUUCCCGGCUGUCCUUCGGUCAGGCCUGUACUCCCUCACCAGCAUGGUAACUGUGCCCUCCAGCCAGAAGAAGGCCACCUGCCAUGUAGUCCACCCGGCCAGCAGCACCACGGUGGACAAGGAUGUUGAGGUCCAGCCUGGCUCCCACUGCAAGCCCUGUCCCAAGUGCCCAGCUCCUGAGCUCCUGGGAGGACCAUCUGUCUUCAUCUUCCCCCCAAAGCCCAAGGACAUACUUAUGAUCUCCCUGACCCCCAAGGUCACAUGUGUUGUGGUAGAUGUGAGCCAGGAAGACCCCGAGGUUGAGUUCACCUGGUAUGUGGAUGACAAACAGAUGAACACAGCUGAGGCAAAGCUCCAGGAGGAGCAGUUCAAUGGCACAUUCCGUGUGGUCAGUGCUCUCCCCAUCCUGCACCAAGACUGGCUGAAUGGCAGACAGUUUACAUGCAAGGUCAGCAGCAAAUCCCUGCCAGCCCCCAUUGAGAAGACCAUCUCCAAAGCCAGAGGACAACCCAAGAGCCCACACAUAUACCUUCUGCCCCCACACCGAGAGGAGCUGUCCAUGGACAAAGUCAGUUUGACCUGCCUGGUCACUGGCUUCUACCCUGAAGACAUCCAUGUGGAGUGGGAGACCAAUGGACAUUCACACUACAAGAACACCCCAGCUGUCUUGGACACUGAUGAAACCUUCUUCCUCUACAGCAAGCUCACUGUGAACAAGAGCGUGUGGGAUUCUGGAAAGGUCUUCACCUGCUCCGUGAUGCACGAAGGCCUGCACAAUCACAUCACUCAGAAGACCAUCUCCCGGUCUCCGGGUAAAUGAGUGCUGUGCCCAGCAAGUCCUCACUAGCCUGUGGGCUCUUGAGUCCUGCAGGACCCUGUCCCCCAACACCCAUGUAAAUAAAGCACCCAGCACUGCCUGGGCUCUUGCGACA